rnacentral:rRNA from 1 species
GACGAACGCUGGCGGCGUGCUUAACACAUGCAAGUCGAACGGAAAGGCCCUGCUUUUGUGGGGGGCUCAAGUGGCGAACGGGUGAGUAACACGUGAGUAACCUGCCCUUGAUUUUGGGAUAACUUCAGGAAACUGGGGCUAAUACCGGAUAGGAGCUCCUGCUGCAUGGUGGGGGUUGGAAAGUUUCGGCGGUUGGGGAUGGACGCGCGGCUUAUCAGCUUGUUGGUGGGGUAGUGGCUUACCAAGGCGUUGACGGGUAGCCGGCCUGAGAGGGUGACCGGCCACAUUGGGACUGAGAUACGGCCCAGACUCCUACGGGAGGCAGCAGUGGGGAAUAUUGCACAAUGGGCGGAAGCCUGAUGCAGCAACGCCGCGUGCGGGAUGACGGCCUUCGGGUUGUAAACCGCUUUCGCCUGUGACGAAGCGUGAGUGACGGUAAUGGGUAAAGAAGCACCGGCUAACUACGUG